CGGCAUAAAGUGUGGUUAAGAAAAAGAUAUAAUAGAGUUAAAGUGCUUCAAGGCAGUGAUAAGCUUCCGAAGUUACGAAACACAAUUAACGAAAGUAACUCUACCAGCCCUGACACCACGAAAACCAUAGAACAAACCGGGAUUAGAUACCCCAUUAUGUAUGGUCGUUAACACUGAUGGCUUGCAUACCUAGUCAUCCGCCCGGGGACUACGAGCGAAAGCUUAAAACCCAAAGGACUUGACGGUGCUUUAGUCCCCCUAGAGGAGCCUGUUCUAGAACUGAUGAUCCCCGUUCAACCUCACCACCUCUUGCUUAUCCUGUUUGUAUACUUCCGUCGUCAGCUAACCUUGCAAGAGAAAGGAACAGUUAGCACAAAUGAUAUAAACUCAAAAACGUCAGGUCGCAGUGCAGCGAAUGAGGUGGGAUAAAAUGGGCUACAUUCUCUACCAUAGAGAAUACGAAUGAUAACUUGAAAAAGCUAUCUGAAGGAGGAUUUAGUAGUAAGUAGAGAGUAGAGUGCUCUACUGAAUAUGGACCUAAAGCGCGUACACACCGCCCGUCACCCUCUCCGAUUAUUCUUCUAAAAAUUAAAUAAAACA
rnacentral:rRNA from 1 species